rnacentral:misc_RNA from 1 species
GGAUUUUACUGCUUCCUGGUGCGGUCCUUGCCGUUUUAUUGCCCCAAUUCUUGCUGACAUUGCUAAGAAGAUGCCCCAUGUUAUGUUCCUCAAGGUUGAUGUUGAUGAACUGAAGAAAGUUGCAGAGGAAUGGAAUGUAGAGGCAAUGCCAACUUUUGUCUUCAUUAAAGAGGGUAAAGAAGUGGAUAGGGUUGUUGGUGCCAAUAAAGACGGAUUGCUUCAGACCAUAGAGAAGCAUGGUGCUGCUCCUGCUGUUGUGACUGCUUGAGCCUUAAUAUUUAGUUUUGUCUUCUGUAAUAACUCUGGAUGGUUGUUUUUUAAUUACCCACCAUUUUUUUACUGCUUUCUUGAAAGAUUUGUUAUGUUGGUGUUUGGAAUCUGACAUUUGUGCAUAUGGUGUUUGCUGGUGUAAGGCUAUAUGUCCAUUUCUAUCAAAAGACUCUUUUCCCAA